GGGAGUGUCCUAGGGCAGCUUUUAUGGCACAGUCUCAGCAGACAGCUUCUGGUAGUGUGGCUCAGCCAGUAGCUCCAGCCGCGACUUAGGCUAGUGGCAGAGGCAGAGGAAGAGGGGCAGCCUCUUCUUCAGCGGGUUUCAGGGGUGAGGGCCCGUCAGCUCUAGCACGGAUCUUCACCAUGACUCAGCAGGAGGCAAACACAUCCAACACCGUGGUGUCAGGUAAUCUCAUCAUUGGUUGUUCUGAUGUGUAUGCAUUAAUGGACCCUGGUGCAUCUCAUUCUUUUAUUGCUCCGAGGGCCGUCGAGAGGUUGGGACUGAUGGUCUCU
rnacentral:lncRNA from 1 species